rnacentral:lncRNA from 1 species
GUUAUUAAUUAGACUGGGUUUGAGUUUGGUUUUGCUGUUGCUUUGCUUUGUUUUGCAGUGCUGGGGGGUCAAAUGUAGGGCCCGCUGAAUGCUAGGCAAGUGUUCUACCACUGAGCCACGUCCCUGGCAUUGUGCUUUUUGUGUUACAGCAUUAACUGACCUGACCCGAGGCCCAGGGCUGGGAUUUCCCGGGUGUUGUCCACCCACCUUAAGCCAUAUGAGGUCCACAUGCCCAGCGUACAGAGGGCAACCUGCCUUGAACAGCAAGAAAGAUGGGAGAGGAUAGUGUCCCAGCCUGGUCCAGGCUCAGCAUGUGGAAUUUCCCCUGCAAGUCUGAUCAUGAUGCAGACUGACCAGGAGCUUGAUAGCCAAGCCCCAUCUCUUGACACCCAAAUGAACCCAGAACUUCAUUUCUAAGGACCAGAGCACCUAAAGGGGCUCAGAAGUCUCCCUUGGAGCAUUUUCUGACUCUCCAUUUGCUGUGUGACCUUGGGAAAUGUAUAAUAUCUCUGAACCUCAAUGUCUUCAUCUAUAAAAUGGGAUGGCAUCUCUGCCUAGCUGACUCCCAGUACUUGGGGACAGGGCUUCAGCUUCCCUGGCACAGUCCUGGGUGGAGGGAGGAGCCCUGGGCUGGGUGUGCUCUGCAGUAAACAACUCGAUCAUAUGAGACAAUAAAUGUGCAAGGGCUUUGCAAAUGUAAAUUGCUUUGUAAACAGAGUGUUG